rnacentral:rRNA from 1 species
UACGUAGGGUGCGAGCGUUGUCCGGAAUUACUGGGCGUAAAGAGCUCGUAGGUGGUUUGUCGCGUUGUCCGUGAAAACUCACAACUCAAUUGUGGGCGUGCGGGCGAUACGGGCAGACUGGAGUACUGCAGAGGAGACUGGAAUUCCUGGUGUAGCGGUGGAAUGCGCAGAUAUCAGGAGGAACACCGGUGGCGAAGGCGGGUCUCUGGGCAGUAACUGACGCUGAGGAGCGAAAGCGUGGGGAGCGAACAGG